CAACCCUCGAGCCCCCCCGGGGGCUCGGCGUUGGGGAUCGGCUCCCGCCCCAGGGCGCGCCGCCCCCGAAAUACAGUGGCGGUCUCGCCGCGGCCUCCCCUGCGCAGUAGCUUGCACACUCGCACCGGAGAGCGGCGCGGCCACGCCGUGAAAACCCCCCACCGGCCGGACGGCCCUGAAAUG
rnacentral:misc_RNA from 1 species